rnacentral:tRNA from 1 species
CGGGGCGUAGCGCAGCCUGGUAGCGCACCUGCCUUGGGCGCAGGGGGUCGGAGGUUCGAAUCCUCUCGCCCCGAUAC